CAAAGGUUUGGUCCUAGCCUUGAAAUCAGUUUUUACUUAAUAUAUACAUGCAAGUCUCCACACCCCUGUGAAAACGCCCUUAAAUCCCCACUAGGGAUAAGGAGCUGGUAUCAGGCACAAACACACCCAAGACACCUAGCUAUGCCACACCCACAAGGGCUCUCAGCAGUAAUUAACAUUGAGUAUGAGCGAAAGCUUGACUCAGUCAAAGUAAAAAGAGCCGGCAAAUCUGGUGCCAGCCGCCGCGGUUACACCACGUGGCUCAAAUUGAUUAUUAUCGGCGUAAAGCGUGAUUAAAGUUUUAACAAAUUAAAAUUAAAUUAAGAUUAAGCUGUAACACGCUUGUUAUUAAGAAAUCCAAAACGAAAGUUAUUUUAAUUAACAUAACUUGAUCCCACGACAGCUAAGAAACAAACUAGGAUUAGAUACCCUACUAUGCUUAGCCGUAAACUUUUAACUACACCACAAAUCGCCCGGGAACUACGAGCAAAACUUAAAACCCAAAGGACUUGACGGUACCCCAUAUCCACCUAGAGGAGCCUGUCCUACAACCGAUAACCCCCGAUUAACCUCACCAUUUUUAGUUAUUCAGCCUGUAUACCUCCGUCGUCAGCUUACCCCGUGAGCGAAAUAUAGUGAGCUUAAUGUCUUUACACCAAUACGUCAGGUCAAGGUGCAGCAAAUAAAAUGGGAAGAGAUGGGCUACACUUUCUAACAUAGAAAAUACGAAAGACUACAUAUGAAACCUAGUCAGAAGGCGGAUUUAGCAGUAAAAAGAUAACAGAGAGUUCUUUUUAAUCUGGCACUGGGGUGUGUACACACCGCCCGUCACCCUCUUCUCAGCUAAACUAUAGUUUUUAACAACUCUUACGCCACAUAGAAGAGGUAAGUCGUAACAUGGUAAGUAUACCGGAAGGUGUGCUUGGAAA
rnacentral:ncRNA from 1 species